GCUGCUGUAGCUCAGUUGGUAGAGCGUCGCCUUGGUAAGGCGGAGGUCACGGGUUCGAAUCCCGUCAGUAGCU
rnacentral:tRNA from 9 species